CGGGGCGUAGCUCAGCUUGGUAGAGCGCUAUCUUGGGGUGGUAGAGGCCACAGGUUCAAAUCCUGCCGCUCCGACCA
rnacentral:tRNA from 2 species